CCUACGGGAGGCAGCAGUGGGGAAUAUUGGACAAUGGGCGAAAGCCUGAUCCAGCAAUGCCGCGUGAGUGAUGAAGGCCUUAGGGUUGUAAAGCUCUUUUACCAGGGAUGAUAAUGACAGUACCUGGAGAAUAAGCUCCGGCUAACUCCGUGCCAGCAGCCGCGGUAAUACGGAGGGAGCUAGCGUUGUUCGGAAUUACUGGGCGUAAAGCGUACGUAGGCGGUUAUUCAAGUCAGAGGUGAAAGCCUGGAGCUCAACUCCAGAACUGCCUUUGAAACUAGAUAGCUAGAAUCUUGGAGAGGUGAGUGGAAUUCCGAGUGUAGAGGUGAAAUUCGUAGAUAUUCGGAAGAACACCAGUGGCGAAGGCGACUCACUGGACAAGUAUUGACGCUGAGGUACGAAAGCGUGGGGAGCAAACAGGAUUAGAUACCCUGGUAGUCCACGCCGUAAACGAUGAUAACUAGCUGUUCGGGCUCUACGAGCUUGAGUGGCGCNGCUACGACAUUAAGUUAGUUCCGUCCGUCGGGUAGGUACGGUCGGCGAAGAAGUUAAACGUUAACUAAAUUAGUUAAGUUAGUUACGGCGUGAGACGUUGCCGACGGACGACGACGAGGGAGGAGG
rnacentral:rRNA from 1 species